CUGCAGUGAUGACCUGAAUUUCUUCACCUGAAACAUGCCUUGAUGCUUUUUGAGCUUUUUAACCCUGAGCACU
ensembl:snoRNA SNORD36 Small nucleolar RNA SNORD36